CCUCUUUUGGUCUUCACUUUCAGA
rnacentral:siRNA from 1 species